rnacentral:rRNA from 1 species
ACGAACGCUGGCGGCGUGCUUAACACAUGCAAGUCGAACGGAAAGGCCCUGCUUGCAGGGUGCUCGAGUGGCGAACGGGUGAGUAACACGUGGGUGAUCUGCCCCUUACUUUGGGAUAAGCCUGGGAAACUGGGUCUAAUACUGGAUUGGACCAUGCUGUAGGUGGUGUGGUGGAAAGAUUAGUUUCGGUAAGGGAUGAGCUCGCGGCCUAUCAGCUUGUUGGUGGGGUAAUGGCCUACCAAGGCGUCGACGGGUAGCCGGCCUGAGAGGGUGGACGGCCACAUUGGGACUGAGAUACGGCCCAGACUCCUACGGGAGGCAGCAGUGGGGAAUAUUGCACAAUGGGCGCAAGCCUGAUGCAGCGACGCCGCGUGGGGGAUGACGGCCUUCGGGUUGUAAACUCCUUUCAGCCAUGACGAAGCCCUUGUGGUGACGGUAGUGGUAGAAGAAGCACCGGCUAACUACGUG